rnacentral:tRNA from 1 species
GCGCAUGUGGUGAAAUUGGUAGACACGCUGUCUUCAGGUGGCAGUGCUUUCGGGCGUGGGGGUUCGAAUCCCUUCAUGCGCA